rnacentral:lncRNA from 10 species
GGCAGGGACUCGCUGGACUGUGAGGAGAAGCAGUGUGUCCUCACCUUUCCACCUUCCUCUGGCCACAGCUUUAGCUGCUGAAUGAUAACAAGGCUGCCUGCCGAUCUCAUAAGAGGGCAUCUUGGGCAAGGCAAGGAGAAAGGGCUUUGGAGUCUUGAGUUCAAAUCCCGGCUCCCCCAGCUGCUGUGCAACCGUGAUGUAUGACAGCCUCUCUGGGCCUCAGUGUUUGUAUCUGCAAGAUGAGGCUCUGACAUAGACCUGAUUAGGUUAUGGUGAGGAUUACACAAUCCCUGCUUGAAAGGCACCUGGCUUGUUCUGAGUAAACCCUGUGACUCCCUUUAAUUCCUGGUGGGUGGCUUGCUUGUGCCCUCAUGAGGUUCAGCACUUGGCAGUACCCUGUCACCUGUUCAUCAUUAGCAAUGACGGACGCAAUGCUUCCUCUGUGACAAAGCCUCAUCCGACAGAGCAGGACUGCAGGGCUUCUCCAGGGCUUGGGGAGGGGGACAAGGGCAGUGCGCACAGUUCCUUUUUGUUUGCUGAUGCCACACUAGGCACGUGAAAGGGCUGGGUCAGAGAACCCAGCUUGGCCCACGCUGUCUCGGUUGGUGGCCGUCCUCACCUUCCUCACCCUUCAGAUCCCGUAGGGAGCCCCUGCGGUGGUGCCAUGGACGGGAAGCAUCCCACCGUGCUUGUGGCUCACCUCGAGGUCCAGGUGUCACUGCAUGGCCUGAAAAGGACUGUCUCCGAGCAGAACAAGCUCAUGACCAAGAACAAAGAGGACAUCUUGACCGUGUAAGUAAUGAUGACCGCUCUGUCCCCAGCUCAUAGGGACCCUGAGGACUCCAGGUUGCCUCCCUAUGUUGGCUCCUGAUUCAAGCAGAUGGCAGGGGGGUGUGUCCCAAGGAGCUGGGUGCUGAUGUCAGGAGCCCAGCACCCUUGUGGAAGCCAAGAACGACACUGAGGGGGCAAGAAGAGACUGUGAUGAGCUAAGUGAUGGUGUUGUCCCCAGCACGCAACAAGGGCUGGUGCGGCAACUGGCGACCUGAGAGGGAGGGCUGGUCCCAGCAGGGAGGUGUUCAUAGAAGGGAGAGAUUUUCGGUGAGGAGUGGCAGCACAGUCAUUCUCAACCCAGUGUGUCUUGGGAGAUGCCUAUGGGGUGGAAGUUGGAUGAUCAGGCUGUUAUUGGGUCAAUCUGAUUCAAGGAGAGGGAGGAGAGGUGACGUGGCCAGAAGGAGGGCAGGAGGGUGGACAGCAGAGAAUGCAGCCGGCCACCCGGGCCAUCCCCCUUGCCUCCACUCACUCAUCCUUUCCCACCCCUGGGCCGAGGAUGCGUCUCAUUAGGUAGUUUUCAGAUGGGUAAACUGAGGCAGGAGCCAUUCCAGGCCCAGAGAGGAGAGCCAGGAAGGCACGUGUUGUAAUCCCUGGGUUAGUUUUUCAUUCACACACAGGGGAACCUCUCCAGCCCUGCCACUCACUAGUUUUAAGAGGCUCAAGUGUUCUGAUUCCUGGCAGCAGCAACGUGGUAAUGCUUCUUUCUUGUUCCCUCCCUGAUCCCUUCUUCCCUCAUGCUUGAGGGCUUGGCCCCGCUUUUCUCCAUGUAUUUCCACCAGGGUGCCACACUGCCUGGAAUUGCAACCGCUGGGGCCUUGUCCAGUUUAUUAUCUCUCACCACAGGUGCAGGAAGGAGGCAGGGAGCAGGGCUGUGUCGCAGAGCAAGGCCAGGGCAUCCCACCCCACCAUGGCCGCCCAUCCCCAUGGCCUCCCUCAAGAUCAGGAAACUGCUCCACAUUGCAGUAACUAAGUGCACCAGGCGUGGCUGCUGGUGAGGGGUGGUCAGGCAGCACCUGUGGCCAGCCUAAAGGAAGGUCAAGGUUUGUGAAGGCAUCUGGUGCCUCCCCUGUUGAAAUUUCUUUUUCUCCUCCUUAUUAGUUGAAUCUUAAGAAUUGACAGUACCAUAAAACGUGAAACCUUUAUUUCUGCUUUUUAAAUGGAAAACCGGGCUGGGCACAGCGGCUCAUGCCUAUAAUCCCAGCACUUUGGGAGGCUGAGGUGGGCAGAUCGGCUGAGGUCAGGAGUUCAAGAUCAGCCUGGCCAACAUGGUGAAACCCCAUCUCUACUAAAAAUACAAAAAUUAGCCAGGCAUGGUGGCACAUGCCUGUAACCCCAGCUACUCAGGAGGCUGAGGCAGGAGAAUCGCUUAAACCCAGGAGGCGGAGGUUGCAGUGAGACGAGAUUGCGCCAUUGCACUCCAGCCUGGGUGGCAGAGUGAGACUCCACCUCAAAAAAAAGAAAAAAGGAAAACCAAGCAAAAGUCACUGUCAGGGGACCUCCCACCCACCAUACAGGGGAACACUCGGCAGAGCCAGAGGCCUGGGCCCAAGUCCUGCCACCAGCUGGCUGUGAAACUGUGGUACAGCACCUUGUGUCCUGCCACCAGCCGGCUGUGAAACUGGUACAGCACCUUGUCCUCAGGUCCUUGGUUUCCUCACUUGUAAAUUCAUGGUUCUCCAUGGCAUCUCUGGUCUUCAACAUUAUUUUGCAUAGAGUCUCAGAAGCUUUAGUGUGAGCGGAUGAUAUGGGCACGAAGCAAGGCACCCAGAAGUGGGGGCAACUACUCUGCUUUCUAAAAUGCAAGGGAACCGGAAAAUCCAGGAGCCGUGCCAAAGUCUAUGUUCCCUUUAUGAGCUGUAACGCACACCAUGAAGGUCUGCGGCUUGGCUAUUGAGUCAGUGAGAGCGUGAACCUACUAUUAGAAGAAAAACUCUGAAUACGUCUGAACGUCAGAAAGAACGAAGUUUGGACACAUUGUCUUUAAGAACUGUAACACUCACCCCAAGGGUUUAUGGAUUCAUUCUUGAAAUCAGUGAAACCAAAAGCUUUCCAAAGUUUAACACACAGGGAAAUGACUUACUGCAAAGAACCACUCUUCCCCACGAGACUUCGAGAAGACCCGCUGUCACGGACUGAGUUGUGUCCUCUUAAAAUUCAGAUGUUGGAGUCCAAACCCCCAGUAACUCAGAGUGUGAACGUAUUUGAAGAGGUCUUUAAAGAGGUGAUGAAGGGAGAGAGACCCCAUGAGCUCGUCAAGCUCCUUCUGUGACUGAUCAGAGAUCCCACCGUGAGUCCAGCUCCUGGUCCCAUGCUCUGGAUAUAUCGGUCCCUGGCAGCGUGCAACUCCUUAGCCAAAGACGUGGCAACUGCGGGUGAAGUAUCUCUGGGCAGGAAAUCAAUGCAGAAAUGCAACUGGGGAGAGGGGGCUUGGGGGCCAGUUCCAGGGAGAUUGGAACUGCUGUGUUCUCAUCAGCAGAAGUGGCCCCUGCCCACCCCCAUCCUAAUCCCUUCUCAUGUGGGAGAAGGUCUGUGAGCCCUCUCCCUACCAGGCAGGUUCUAUGGCAAUGUGGGCACAUACCCUGGGGCAGGGGCCGAGGGACUUAACUCACUUCAUGAGCGCCAAUGGAGGAGCGAAGGGAAUGCCUGAUGAAAACAACAUUCUACCAGUAUGCACUGUUUUCUAACCUACAGAGUGCCUCUGUGUUCACUGUCCCAUUUGAGAAUUCUAAGUAGAAUUCUGAACAGGCUGGAGCAGAUUGCCCACCCCAAGGGACAGAUGUUGGCUGGUACUGUUGGUAUUCAUGGAAGAUUCCUUCUGACACUCCCUCCUUCUUUGUAAUUGCCAUGAACUGGAGCACUGGGCCAAUAUAAAUCAUCCAAGGGUGAACACGCUGCACAUGGACGGCUCCUCUUUGUUUUUGAAGGGAUUCCAUCUCUAUUUUGCCAUGUGCUCCUUCACCCCACUCCCCACCCCCGUCUUUCAUUUCUUUCUCUGGAAAAGAUACUUCAACUCACAGGACUGCGAUGUUGAAACGGACACCCAAGAGCAUCACAGAUGGGCCAGGCCUGGACCUCUCGGGACAACAUUCCUCACGACUUUUAGAUAGAAGAGAUUAGAGAUUUGGGACUGGUGGCAACUGGUAACGUUUUCAGUGUUUGGUAAACAGCCAGGGUCCGGAGCUCUGGGAACAGCCUGAUUUAGCUCUUUGUUUAAGUUUUGUGUUAGAGGCUCCCAAGAAGCUGAUGCAGGGGAAAGAAAUUAACAACCAUGGCUCAUUCACAGCCAGGCAGCCAAAUGGACAGCUCUAUAAGACUCAAGCCGACAGCGGAGAGAGUGCAACCAAACAGCCUUGGCCCAGCUUUCAGAGGAGAACGUUAUUCACCCCAACUGCUCUGCAUCUGCCUGGAUGUCUGCCAAGAUCUGUGAGCAUUACAGCGUUGCAGUCUUCUUUCCACCAAUGACCCCUCGCGCUGCUUCCAGAAGCCAAGAAAGUGGGCUUUGUCCUUGGGGAUUUAGGAGGCGGAGCGGCGCCCCCUUGAGGCCACAUGGUGGAGGCAGCGAUGAGACCUGGAGUCUAAAAUUCAGACUGAAUCACAGGAAGAAGCUAUUUACACAAGUCAAACAUGGUCCAAUCUUGGCAAUUUCAUAAGGUUCCAAUCCUUAAGGGAUCAAAACCUGGCCAACUGCUUCCACCGAGAGGUGUGCCUUUCAAUGCCAGGCUUGGAGUGUCCCUCUUUAUUUAAAAAGGAGAGGAUUCCACAGCAGAGCUUCUCAAACUCUUCCACCCAAAUCCCCUCACCACAGAGGGACAGGAGUCCUGGGCAUGUAGCCUAAAGCAGCCAGGAGAAAAAAACCUUGACCUUAAUUUUUUUAAUGAUUUCACAUGAAUCAGUGGAAUGUGUUUAUGAUAAAAUCAUCUCCUCCUGAAAUACAUGUGUAAAACUGCUGCCCCAGUUAAACGCACUUAGUCUAACCAAGCCCUAGGAUUGGCCUCUCCAGCAUGAGAAGCAUUUCCAGCACUCCAGCUCCCCAGCUCCCACUCUGGGAUCCCACCUCAGACCCUCCCACUUCCUUGCACUCUGGCCUCUCGCUCUUGACCCUGCUCCCGCCACGCUCUUUCCUCAGAGUCCAUCAGUCCUGUCUUGUCUUCACCUUGGUCUCUGCCAAGUGUGGGUCCAAGUCAUAUAUUUGGGCUGUGAUCACAGGAACCCCAAGCCCCAGACCUCCCAAAGCACCCUAUGGAGAGACCUUACCCUCCUGGACAGACCCUCUCCCCCCAGCUAGACCUCAUCCUCUGGGUAGACCCAUCUCCCCAACCAGAACUCACCCUCCUGAGUAAACCCCAUCCCCCUAGCUAGACUUCAUCCUCCUGGACAGAUCCCAUCCCCCCAGCUAGACCUCACCCUCUUGGGUAGAUGCAUCUCCCCAACCAGAACUCUCCUGGGUAGACCCCUUCUACCCAGCUAGACCUGAUCCUCUGGACAGACCCCAUCAUCCCAGCUAGACUUCUCCCUCCUGGACUGUCCCCAUCCCCCCUCCAGCCAGACCUCACCCCUCUGGGUAGACCCCAUCCCCCCAACUAGACCUCACCCUCCUGGAUGGACUCUACCCUCCUGGAGAUACCUUCCCCUCCUGGGUACAUCCCACGUGGCUACACACUCCUUCCCCUGUCAGCUUUCUCCCCCAGGGUUCUGGGCAGCAGAGUCUGUGAUAAAGGAUACUAAGUGAUUCCCCAAUACUUCCCGUUUCCAGCCUCCAGUGGGCUCUCCCUGGGGCUAACGGUUCUUUUUGCUAUUUCUCCAGGCUUUGCCUGAUGACAAGUAUACUCUGAGAGUGUCCUAAUGAUACAGAUUUUGGACCCUAUCCCAGUUCUACUGAAUCCAAGUCUCUGGGGGAGGAGUUGGGGCUCUGCAUCUGGACACCUUCCUGCAGGGUCCCUCCUGGGAGGCAAGCCCGGGGAGCACCGCUGAGGCUCGCCUCAGUGCCCAUCCUAGACCUUCAGCAGCUAGCAGAGGAUGUCCCCACCAUCCCUCAGCCCACACUCCCACUGUCGCCCCAGCCAGGCUUGGCACUGCCUCCUUUCUCAGAAGAUUAAGACCAUCUGCUGUUUCCCAAGUUUCCCACCCUCCACCCUAAAAAUUUCUCCGUUUCCCAGUCUUUCCUCGUCUCUCAGAAAAUAAACAUCUUCCCAGGCUGCCUCCCCAGUGGGUCUGCACUCCUUGCUGUCUUCCCAGCACCUGCCCUUCCAGCCCGCCCUCUGUGUGUCCAGUGUUUCCCUCACCAAAGGACUCGCUUUGUUUUUCAAAUUGGAGGUUUUGUCUUCUCCCUAAAAACCAAAACAUCUCCCUGAGAAGUAACUCCCUCAAGCUACUGAUACGGAAGGGGGGCGGGGAAGUGCUGGGAAGGGAAGGGUGUGGUCCCUGGCUAGGGCUCCACCCCCGGGCCUGUGCCCACAGACCUAGGUGAGGACAGGCAUUUCUGUUUUCGUGCUUAAAUGUUGGAUUUCCCAAGACUACCCUGGCCUACCACACCCUCAUUCUGUGCCUGUAAAAAAACCUGAGAGCUUAGCAGGCACGCACACAAGCCUCUGGACGUCAAGAGGAACACACCGGUGUAAGAGCAGACUGAUAGUGGCCCACGGCAGGCUGGCAGGCCAUCGACAGGCAGAACCACUCAGUGCAGCUGGAGGACAGCCUGGCCACGGAGCGGUCCGACUUCAGAGGGGAAAACCACCUCCCCACUCCGUCUCCCUUCUGGCUCCCCCAUCUGAGAGCUACUUCCACUCAAUAAAACCUUGCACUCAUUCUCCAAGCCCAUGUGUGAUCUGAUUCUUUUGGUGCACGGAGGCAAGAAACCUCAGGAUACAGAAAGCCUCUGUCCUUGGAAUAAGGCAGGAGGUCUAACAGCUGACUAGGGAUGGCUCAACUGAAACAGCAUCCUGUAACACAGGCCCAUUGGGACCUCAGGAGCUGUAAACAUUCACCCUUAGACAUUGCUGUGGGGUUGGAGCCCCACCACCUGCCCAUCUGCAUGCUCCCCCUACAGGUUUGAGCAGCGGGGCACAGAAGAAGCCAGCCACACCUCCAUCGCAAGCCCUGCCACGGGGAUAAGGGAACUUUUCCCGUUUUGCCACCAGCUCAAGCCCCGCCUUCCUGUCACUCCACACUCUUCAUCUCUGUGUAUGGGUGUGGUCUUCCUCAGUUCCUUCUCUGGCCUCACACAGUGCCCUGAAUAAUGCUUUGCAAGGCCUUUGCCAGGAGCCUAGGUGAAAGGCAGAAGAGGUGCCCCUGCAGCAUCGCAAGGUAGAGAUCGUGGUUACAAGAUGGGGACUAGACUCCCAGUUUGCCCUUGGACUGGGCAGCCCCUUGGAUUUUGUUUUCCCUGACGUUGCUGUUCUGAUCCAAGGCCUUGUGGCCUCGCUACAGACACCCAAGGCCAGGCCUAUCUUUGCAUGAAUAACUAAAGAAAGCCUAGAGGAUGAGUAAAAUGACCACACUGUAUGGCUUUGGAGGACUGGAAGUUACUGAGGACUAUGAGUGGGUUUUUUGCAUAGACUGCAGUAAAGGUCCUCAGAAAAGACCCUCAAGAGCUAUGGGGGGGUCUGGUCAAAUGCCACUUCUAGACUGGACUCCAAAACUGGUGCUGAUUAUUUUCACUCCUACCCCACCCACCAGCCUGAUAGGCGAUUCCUGAAGUAGCAGUGGGGCGCUCAGUGGUGCUCACCAGGCCCAGAGCUCAGUCCUUCCCCCAUUCUGCCUGAUGGGGCUUGUGUAACCAAGGAUGACAGAUGGGACAAUCCCUGUUGGUAAAGACUGAGUUGAUUCUGACCAGGACCAGAGAUAAAACCCAGCACCUUUAUCUUUCCCCUUUGUACCUUCUUCAGAAAGACCUUCUUCUGCAGCAGUUCUGGAACUGUGAUCUGUGAGGUGUGGUUGCAAGAAUUCUUUAUUUUUUUAUUUUAUUUUUUUCAGACAAAGUCUCACUCUGUCGCCCAGGCUGGAGUGCAAUGGUGCGAUCUCGGCCCACUGCAACCUCCGCCUCCCAGGUUCAAAUGAUUCUCCUGCCUCAGCCUCCUGAGUAGCUGGGAUUACAAGCAUGUGCCUCCACGUCCAGCUAAUUUUUGUAUUUUUAGCAGAGACGGGGUUUCAUCAUGUUGGUCAGGCUAGUCUCAAACUCUUGACCUCAUGAUACACCUGCCUUGGCCUCCUGAAGUGCUGGGAUUACAGGCGUAAGCCACCACGCCUGGCCUGGCAAGAAUUCUUUUAUAAAGAAUUCUAGGUCUAUUAAACCCAGAUUCUUCAACUAGAACAGGCACACAGGAAAAAGGUUCACUAAAAACCCUGUUCUCUUGCCUCAUUUUGGUGAUUUCCAGCUAGGCUGUUGGGAUAGGCAUAUGUAAGUGUCACUUCCAUCUUUUCAUAGGUAUCUCACAGAAUCUCUGACCAAUGGAGAGCUAAUCAAAGACAAGUUUAAUAGGUGAAG